rnacentral:misc_RNA from 1 species
UGUAAUCUUUUCGACUACCAAGAUGAAUAUGGAAAUUAAAUUCUCUUUAUCAUGUAGUCAAUUGUUAUUACAAGAACUAUUACUACAUAGGUUAUGGGAAAUGUAUAAUAAGUUUACUCAAUUGGUAUCAAUGUUAUAUAUUUUAGGAAGUUCUACUCUGAAUAUUUAAUAAUUAUCUUUUAUUACUGAAAAUGUCGAUUGUUGCAUACAACGUCAUUUAUUAAAAAUAAGUGACUUUAUGUUACAGUUUUAAUAAGGGUAAAUGGAUAAAAUGAUUUCAUAGGGGAAUUGAGUAGAUAGACCUAUUAGGGGAACUUAAAGAAAGGUUAGAGUUUUGGGAUUACUAGACAAAUUUUCUUGGAUUAAUAGGAGAUUAAAAAAGUUCUGGAUACUUAAAAAUAUUAUUGUAUGAUUCUUGACUAUGUGUCACUUAUCAGAGCUAUUAGACUUAGGGAUCAUGGAAAUUUGUUUUUAAUCAUUUAAUAUAUUAUAAAAUGAAUUACACUGUAUAAGGUUAACAUAAUUAUGUGUUUAAGGAUAUUUCUACUAUAUAUACUGUAUAUUAUAGGAAAUAAUUUUAAACCAUACUUGAUAAUUAUUGUCUUUGUCACAGUUCCUGAAGGAAACCUCAAAGAGUUUGAUAAUUAUUUUUUAAAGUAAAAACAUUUUGUAGCAAGCCCAUUGAGUUAAGAAUGGACAGCCAGGGUCUGCUGUCACAGUGGAGGAGGGGGAGAUGUCAUGAACCACAAGGUUUGACAUACCCCCAAACAUCAGUUCCUUCUUUAAGAAGAGAAAUAAUUUUUUUCCAACUUUAAAAACUAAAAGCUGAUCAGACAGUUUUGGCUGACAGAGUAAAAACGCUAAGGAGAGGUAGAAGUGGGGCUAGCAUUCUAGUCUCCCCUCCAGCCAGCUAGUGGAAAAAGCUUUCCACUUUUCAUCUGAAUAAUUUCACACACUUUUUGAUCGCCUACCUCCUGAGACAGACCGAGCUGCCCCGUGGCUGGACAUCCCCAUGGCAACUUAGGAUGGACAUCAACUGUAUAACGAUUGAUUGAUACCAAAUUCACCAGACGAAGAAGCUCUCGGUGCGCAGAUAUGUCACUCGUCGGGUUUCUUAUAAUUCAGCUCAUUUCUUAUCAAUCCACACCUUUUUCACAAGCCACGAUUUACCACACGGACAGCGACUUCUAUGGAUGGAAAAAAUAAAAAAUGAAAAUGUCAAUAGAAUUUAAAAAAUAAAUCAAUUAGAAAUGAUAGUGAGAUCAUGAAAUAAAAAUUAAAAAUAAGGAAAAAA